rnacentral:lncRNA from 1 species
GAUAAAUUUCAAAAUGGGCACUUUGUAUAGCCUGCCCUCUUAGUAUUCCAAUUUUAGAGACAUCUUUGACAUUUCUAAAACAUCAUUUUAAAGAUAAUAGAUUUAAUUUCCAUUGCUUAGAAAAUAUGGGUGUUGUACAUUUUAAAAGGGUCUGCACUACCUGUCAUUCAAGAUUAAUUUAGUCAAGUUCAUAGUCAUUUUAUUUUAAUAGCAUUUAUUAUGCAAGAAGUAUAUUGAAUUAUCAUAUUGAUACAUUCAAAGUACGAAAGGAAAAAUGAAGUACACAACUUAGUGUUAUUUGCACAGCACAGUUAGACAGUUUGACAGACAUGUUAUUAUUCCACUCACUGACUUGUUUGUUCCCAGUAGUCCAGAUUAGUUAUGCAUAUAUGAGAGACAAAACAUUUCAAUAAGUUGUUCAAGUGUUGAAAUAUGCUAUUAGUUUUUACGUAGGAGACAUUUACUAAUUUUUCUGCUUUAUAGCACACAAUGUUCUCACUACUCUUGAUUUCUAAAAUUGGGCCAAGACUGUGUCACAGAUGUACCCAAGUUUCUCAUCUGCGUUUGCCUUAGUUUAUUGACACAGAAGUACUCUGUUGCCAGAGCCCAAAAGAUCCAGUUUGUCACGUUGUCUAUUAUUAACCAUCCCCACAGUCAACUGAGAUGGUCAAAUUUUUAUAUCUUCAAUAUUUGGUUCUUUUUGUUUUUGUAGACUGAAUUUAACAGUUUCAGAGCACUAGAUAGCAUUAAAAUGAUUUAAUCAUCAUUGUUGUUGAACACUCAUGUUCCAGGAGGAUCAAGUCUGGUAUUUCCUUUAAAUUUUAUUUAUGCUUUCAGUAGUUUUUUCCUGUGACUGAUUUGUACUGACUUCCUCUUCUUGAUUUGCUUUAUAGUGCGUCUACAUCAACAGGCCCAACGUUGACCGCACGUUCUAUGUGGCCACUUGAUGUAUGCAAAAGUAAUACUGCAGUACAAUGGAGGAAAGCUUUCCCCAAUCUGCUCUACAAAAGAUGUCAAAUGAUGUUUCACUUUGUAACACACUUCUGGUUAGGUUCCCUGGGAAACUCUGAAACUAAUUUGCAGGAAGUUCUUUGGAGAUGCUGUUAAGAUCAUCUACUGUUGGAGAAGGGAGGAACUGAGAACACAAAGAAAGUUGCGCUGUGAUACGGUCACCCUGCUGAUAGAGUAAGCUCUGAAACUGACAUGACCCUUUAAAGUUAUCCC